CGGCUUAGACCGGACUGCCAUCCCUGCUUUCGACCCAACACACAAGCUCUGCUUUCUUGUGGCUACUGGGGUCAGUGGCAGAGAGCCAGAGCACACUGCUCCAUGCCCACUUCAAGUCCGCAACUAGAACAUCAUCUUUUUUUGGCUAAAACAUUUUCUGUUUAACCAACCAGCGAAACUCCCCAUUUCAACAGCAAGAUUUACUACCAUUGCAUUUAGGAGAUGGGAUAUUUGAUUAUGGUGUGGAGAUGUGAAAACGUACACCUGCAAAAAUGAAGGUUGUUGCUGAUGAACGUUUGACUCCAAUAAAGCAGGAUACCAAGAAGGGAAGACUUCGUUAUUACCCCUACAAUAUAAAUUGGAAUCACGGGUUGCUUCCACAAAGUUGGGAAGACCCGUCAUUUGCAUUCAAUGAAAGUUGAAGGGGCAUUCGGAGAUUAAUGAUCCUGGUACAAUCUUGUCUUACAUAUAUAUGUGAUUCUGAUAUAAAUAUUGCUUUGAUAACUAAGAUGAAUACGUGUUUAAUGACUUUUUUCGAUUUUAGUUGAUGUUUCUGUCAUUGACGAGGGGGAGCUCAAUUGGAAAAUAGUUGCCAUUUCUUUUGAUGACCCAAAAGCUUCCCUUGUCAAUGAUGUUGAAAAACAUUUUCCAGCAAUACUUGUCUUUUCUCCUCGAUUAUGUAUCUUUUGACUAAAGUAACAAAUACGCGUUGUUGUUUAGUUGUGAUGUCAGAGUUUGAAGCUAAGACAAUUUGAGACUUGUUUCUG